AUUAAUGUUAAACAAAAACCGUCAAAUCGAGACAUUUGACUAUGAAUGAGAUGACAGCGAAUGCCUGUCUAGUACUUUUGGCCGGAUACGAAACCACGAGUACAGCUCUGGCUCUUUGCACUCUGAUGUUAGCUAAUUUUCCCGACGUUCAGGAAAAAAUAAGAAAAGAAGUAAAAACUCUGAUAGAAGAAGAGAAUGAAUUGAAUUACAGCACCGUUCAGAAAUUACAAUAU